UGUGGGCUCCACGUGUGUUUGUUUAUUCAGCAUGUCACAGGCACAAACGCACUGCACUGAGCAUCAAGGGGAGUUAAAACCCACACAGGACCCAGGGCAGCACAUGGCUCAGUCUCCAAAGGGAGGUGCACCGAGAGGUGCUUGGACUUGAGGGAGCCAGGAGGGAGGGGAGUUGCCCUUGGUCUCAAUGAGUCUGUGGUCAGGAUCGUGAUGACCCAGUAACUUUCCUCCAAGAUCAGUGUUCUCAGGAUUAAGUCCUAACCAUCCAUCCAUCCAUCCAUCCACCCUCUCACUCUCCCUCCCACCCAUCCAUCCAUUGCUGGAACAUUGUUGAAGACCUACUAUGUGUCUGCACUCUGUGAAAGAGAGGUCCUGGCCCCUCUCAGCACAUGGAAAAGGUGGAAACCUGCAUUUGCUUCCCAAGCCUGAGGCCAGUGGGGCUGGGCUCCUGGGACACUGAAGACUUGGAAACUGAGGCACAGAAAGGCUAAGCCCCUUGUUAAAGUUCACACAGCAGAAGUUCAAGUGAGAUCUUCUUUGGCCACCAUUAAGGGGCAGGGUUGAGCUCCUCGGGGAGAUUCAGAGAGAAACGUCUGCUUCUGUGUUUUUUCCGGCUUCUCCACGCUGCCUGCGUUCCUGGGCUCGUGGCCCCACCUCCGUCCUCAGAGCUCAGAGGCGGGUCCGGUCUGUCUCCUGCUGCGUCCCUCUGGCUCUGACUCUCCUCCUUCCUUCUUGGAUUACAAGGACUCUUGCAAUUAAAUUGGGCCCAGUAGGGAUUUCCCUUGGUCCGUGGCUAGGACUCCACGCUCCCAACGCAGGGGAUCAGGGUUUGAUGCCUGGUCAGGGAACUAGACGCCACGUGCUGCAACUAAAGAUCCCGCACGCUGCAGCAAAGAUCGAAGAUCUCAUGUGCAGCAACUAAGACCUGGCACAGCCAAAUACAGAAAUAUUUAAAGAGACCUUGGUCCAGAGGAAGCCCACGCACUUAGGGCUGGGCACCGUGACUUAGCCCCUGGCCUCGCGAUACCCACCAGAGCGCGUCCCGCGAAGUCAUCCCGACCCUACAAAGAGGGGAUGGGUGUGCGUGGUCUCCCUCCCUCACCGCUUGGCUCUGCCCAUUCCUGGACCGGCUGCUCGUGGCUCUGCCAGGCCCAGAGAGAAGGCCGGAGGUCUGGGCAGCUCUGAGGGCGGAUUGUCCCGGCCCUGACCCCAUCUCUGCUUGACCCCAUAAUCCUCCCGAAGCCCCCUCCCACGGCCUCCAGCGGGUGCAGACAGCUGCCCUG
ensembl:lncRNA